AUUGAACGCUGGCGGCAGGCCUAACACAUGCAAGUCGAACGAGUGGCGGACGGGUGAGUAAUGUCUGGGAAACUGCCCGAUGGAGGGGGAUAACUACUGGAAACGGUAGCUAAUACCGCAUACCAUCGGAUGUGCCCAGAUGGGAUUAGCUUGUAGGUUAGGUAACGGCUCACCUAGGCGACGAUCCCUAGCUGGUCUGAGCGGAUGACCAGCCACACGGGAACUGGUAAACGGUCUAGACUCCUACGGGAGGCAGAAGUGGGGAAUAUUGCACAAUGGGCGCAAGCAUGAUACAGCCAUGCCGCGUGUAUGAAGAAGGCCUUCGGGUUGUAAAGUACUUUCAGCGGGGAGGCGUGACCCGCAGAAGAAGCACCGGCUAACUCCGUGCCAGCAGACGCGGUAAUAC
rnacentral:rRNA from 1 species